UUAACUUAUUUAGUUAUAGAUUCAGAAUAACAUAGAAUUAACAGAGUUUCAUGGGCCACCGGCAGGCGUACCCGUGUCUACCAGGUAGGGUCCUACAGGGUAGGACCUCACAGGGUAAACACGACCUGCCGAGGCAACAGAAGGUAAGUUCACAUGGGUUUGGGAGUUGUAAUUAACUCUUUAAUGAUCCCUCCGCUGGUUCACCAACGGAGA
rnacentral:misc_RNA from 1 species